CUCCAUGAAAAUCCCCAAAUCCAAUUUUGAUCUUUUUGACCGGUUUGUUGUAGGUACCAAUACUCAGACGAACGAAGAGGUUGUGAUUAAGCUGGUUUCCAAUUUUGAGGAAAAUGUGAAGACAAAACAUCCUCAGUUGCUGUAUGAAUCCAAGUUGUAUAGGAUCCUAGCUACAAGGAGGAACUGGGAUACCAAAUGUGCGGUGGUUUGGAGUUGAAGGAGAUUAUAACGUUUUGGUAAUGGAUUUGCUGGGUCCUAGUCUUGAAGACUUAUUUAACUUCUGUAGUAGGAAACUUUCUUUGGAGACAGUUAUGCUGGCAGAAGACAGUUAUGCUGGCAGAUCAAAUGAUCAAUUGUGUUGACUUUGUUCAUUCCAAAUCCUUUCUACAUCGUGAUAUCAAGCUAGAUCAUUUUCUCAUGGGAUUAGGAUGGCAUGCAAAAUAGG